rnacentral:lncRNA from 1 species
CCAGGGUCGACCCUAGGGCAAACUUGUAAUUAUGUCAAAACCCUUCGGACGCUCUCUUUUUGUUGGGAAUUUCUCCUAGAGCCGACCCAGCUCUCCCCUUUCUUCCUCCCUCCGAACCUAAGGCUCUCCAUCUCUUCUCCCUCAAACCUAGAUUACUCUCAAAUCUCUUCUCCCACUCAUUUUCAUCCUUCAAAUCGACCAUUUAGGAACCAAGUUUUUCUUCUCUUCCCUCCUCAUUUGGGAUGGUUCGAGCUUACCCUAAACUCUACCCAUCUUCUCCAA